rnacentral:lncRNA from 1 species
AUGUUACUUCUGUGUCAGACUCUCUUGUCUUGUCUUGUUUUGCCAUGUUCUUGGACAGCAGUCAGUGGGCCAGAGCAGCAGGAUCUAGUGGUAGACCAUGACAGAAAAAAUCCUCAGCUGUGGUCCAUCUGCCCUCCUGCAUCACAGCUGUUUGGAGAGGAGCAACAUGAAAUGGGGGAGGAGCAACCCAGGAAGUCUCUGAAGCUUCAUGGGAUAGCUUCAAUGUGCUUCACCUUGAUAUGUCUACAGCAGGACAAAAAUACACAACUCACUGAAGAGAUGCCCAGUUCUACCUGCUGCAUCACAUCUGCCUUCCCCCAAAUUGGCGAUACUCUUGCAAGGGAUAAAAGCUCUGACUGUAAAUCUCACUGUUCCUGAUCGGAAAUGAAUUGAACGGCUCCUUCUGCCCAUAGGGAGGUCAGAGACCACACAAAUACUGUGCAAAAGGCUCACAAUGAAAUGUAUCCUUUUUGUUACUCUUUGGGAAGGGACUUUUGGACCAAAUGCUUGCUCCAUUCGGACAGCACAAAGAAAAACACCAAKAGAUUUUAAAUUAUACAGAAAUAUAUUGAUGUCACUGGUGGGAAUCUAAGAAAGCAAGGCACUUGUAAAGAUGGUAUGUGCACUUCAGUGCAGGUACAUCAUGGUCUUACAGAAUACUGAAAGCAAAGCCAAUCUCCACCAGCCCCAUGCGAGUUAGUAUUAUGGUUUUUAGAAGUCUCUAAGAACUGUUCCUUAGCUCUGGUCUUCUUGCCUAAUAAUAUUUUAAUGUGCUUGAUGUGUAUUGGAAUGUGGAAGAAAUAUAAAAAAAAAAAAGCCUCAGCCAUCUUCACAUUUUAUGCUACUAGAAAGUCCAAUUACCUGUCCUUAGUCUGGCAAAUGUCUCGUAUAGGAAGGAUUGAUAAAUUCUUUGUUCGUUCAUUCGUUUAGUCAGGAGUAACGAAACCACGAUCGGGUUGAUAAUCUCUUGCAUCUGAUUUGUCAGAGAUUUAGCUGUUAACCACAGACAGCUGUGGUUUUUUACGUGGAGUUUUAUCUUUUCUGUUAAGUGUCCUCUCUCUUAAAAUGAUGGAACAAGUGUCUGCUAAUAAAAAGACUGCCUGGCUUUCUGUUAUGUUUGGG